UACGUAGGGGGCGAGCGUUGUCCGGAUUUAUUGGGCGUAAAGAGCGUGUAGGCGGCCAGGUAGGUCCGUUGUGAAACUCGAGGCUCAACCUCGAGACGUCGAUGGAAACCAUCUGGCUAGAGUCCGGAAGAGGAGAGUGGAAUUCCUGGUGUAGCGGUGAAAUGCGCAGAUAUCAGGAAGAACACCUAUGGCGAAGGCAGCUCUCUGGGACGGUACUGACGCUGAGACGCGAAAGCGUGGGGAGCGAACAGG
rnacentral:rRNA from 1 species